ACGCUCGACACCUACGGGGGCAGCAGUGGGGAAUAUUGCACAAUGGGGGAAACCCGUGAUGCAGCGACGCCGCGUGGAGGAAGAAGGUCUUCGGAUUGUAAACUCCUGUUGUUGGGGAAAAAGAGGAUGGUACCCAACAAGGAAGUGACGGCUAACUACGUGCCACAGCCGCGGUAAUCUGAGCGGGCUGGCAAGGC
rnacentral:rRNA from 1 species